rnacentral:lncRNA from 1 species
UUGCUACGUACCCUGCAUAAGCAAAACCAUCGCCAAGUACUUUUGUUUCCAUCCGUGUUGCCGUAAUAUAAGGUUGUCUUAAAAUCAACGGAUAAGACGUUGUAUCUUGAACAAAAAAAUAUUACUCCAUUGCAACAUCCCCAAUCUGAAUUUUGACAUUUAGACAAGCUCCAUAUAAUUCGCCCCAUGUGUUAUUAGUUACUCGUAUUGCCCAUCCAUGUUCCAUAUCAAUUGGCUAUUUUUGCUUCUUAUAAAGAUCUUUAGACAUAAGAUUUA